rnacentral:pre_miRNA from 1 species
GAGACAACCUUAUGGGGCAAGAUUUGUUUCAGUGGGGCUUUGGUGCUCACUGAGUCUGCCCCCUGAGUGUGUCCCU